rnacentral:rRNA from 1 species
GAUGAACGCUAGCGGGAGGCCUAACACAUGCAAGCCGAGCGGUAUUGUUUCUUCGGAAAUGAGAGAGCGGCGUACGGGUGCGGAACACGUGUGCAACCUGCCUUUAUCUGGGGGAUAGCCUUUCGAAAGGAAGAUUAAUACUCCAUAACAUAUUGAUUGGCAUCAAUUAAUAUUGAAAGCUCCGGCGGAUAGAGAUGGGCACGCGCAAGAUUAGCUAGUUGGUGAGGUAACGGCUCACCAAGGCGAUGAUCUUUAGGGGGCCUGAGAGGGUGAUCCCCCACACUGGUACUGAGACACGGACCAGACUCCUACGGGAGGCAGCAGUGAGGAAUAUUGGUCAAUGGGUGCAAGCCUGAACCAGCCAUCCCGCGUGAAGGACGACUGCCCUAUGGGUUGUAAACUUCUUUUGUAUAGGGAUAAACCUACCCUCGUGAGGGUAGCUGAAGGUACUAUACGAAUAAGCACCGGCUAACUCCGUGCCAGCAGCCGCGGUAAUACGGAGGGUGCAAGCGUUAUCCGGAUUUACUGGGUUUAAAGGGUCCGUAGGCGGACUUAUAAGUCAGUGGUGAAAGCCUGUCGCUUAACGAUAGAACUGCCAUUGAUACUGUAAGUCUUGAGUAUAUUUGAGGUAGCUGGAAUAAGUAGUGUAGCGGUGAAAUGCAUAGAUAUUACUUAGAACACCAAUUGCGAAGGCAGGUUACCAAGAUAUAACUGACGCUGAGGGACGAAAGCGUGGGGAGCGAACAGGAUUAGAUACCCUGGUAGUCCACGCCGUAAACGAUGCUAACUCGUUUUUGGGCUUUAGGGUUCAGAGACCAAGCGAAAGUGAUAAGUUAGCCACCUGGGGAGUACGCUCGCAAGAGUGAAACUCAAGGGAAUUGACGGGGGCCCGCACAAGCGGUGGAUUAUGUGGUUUAAUUCGAUGAUACGCGAGGAACCUUACCAAGACUUAAAUGGGAAUUGACAGCUUUAGAAAUAGAGCUUUCUUCGGACAAUUUUCAAGGUGCUGCAUGGUUGUCGUCAGCUCGUGCCGUGAGGUGUUAGGUUAAGUCCUGCAACGAGCGCAACCCCUGUCACUAGUUGCCAUCAUUCAGUUGGGGACUCUAGUGAGACUGCCUACGCAAGUAGAGAGGAAGGUGGGGAUGACGUCAAAUCAUCACGGCCCUUACGUCUUGGGCCACACACGUAAUACAAUGGCCGGUACAGAGGGCAGCUACACAGCGAUGUGAUGCAAAUCUCGAAAGCCGGUCUCAGUUCGGAUUGGAGUCUGCAACUCGACUCUAUGAAGCUGGAAUCGCUAGUAAUCGCGCAUCAGCCAUGGCGCGGUGAAUACGUUCCCGGGCCU